GGUGCCAAAGUUGGCUGGCCUUCUCAUUUUUUGGUACAGAAAUUUGUGUUCGUGUCCUGGUUUGUAAGAGAAGUCUGAAUCCGCAAUUGGUUGUAUUUGGGUUUCUUUAUAAAAAAAUUUCAUGUAACCGGUAGCUAAGGUCGUUAACUUGUGAAAUGUUUAUCGUACUCCUUUAAAAAUAUGAUUUCAUAUUGGGAGGCGAUUUCCAUCAGUUUAUAUGAAGUCCUCAUCAAGAAAAGGGGUGCCAAAGUUGGCUGCCCUUUGUUACUAAAAAAAUUAAUGAAGCCAAAGGGAAAAGGUAUUUUAGGAUCUAACUGUAAACUUUUCCCUAGCUACUCGAUUUCAUAAGAUGAAUCCUAUGGUGGAAUAGUGUUAAAAGUUUCGACAGAUGAUGACAAUUGAUCAAAAUUUUGUUUCGGCAUAUUGUUCCGGUUAGCUAGAAAAAGGAAAUAUUUCAGAAACAUUUUGGAACCACUGUGAAAAGGAAAUAUUUCAGAAACAUUUUAGAAUGCUGCAUGUUGCUUUGGCUAUUUGUCACAGAGAAAUACUAUCUUGCUGAUUUUUUUUAUAACUUAGUGUUUGGAUCAACCUUAUCCGCAAUUCGACUAAUUAUACUGGACUUUGCCUUGACAUAAAAUAGCCUCUAAUGGAUGACUUACCAGUUCUCUAACAAAGGCGACACGAGGAGGAGCGGGAGGAGGAGAAGAGUCGGCGGGAGGAAGAGCAAAAGCAACGUGAGGAGGGACAAAGGAGACAUGCGAGGAGGAACAAAGAUAUUGGAGUAUCUGGCAUCUCGUUAAAGACUAUAUAUGAAGAAGUUGGAUUUUUGUUGUAGAUUCUACUGUAAUCUAGUUUUUUCGCUGUUGAACUUUCGUAUUAUUUUACGCUCUAAGGCUUGGAUAUGAUAUGUUUGAUGCUACGUACACUUUUUGUGAUAGGAUUUUUCGUUAUUUUGUACUCUGCGAAUUCGGAUACCGUUUGUUAAGUAUUUGGUGAACACCCUUUAUUU